AACAAGUGAAGUGAGGAGACCAAACAAGUGAAGCGAGGAGACCUGGAGGAGUUCCGGUGAGCUACAGGUUAGUUCUCUUCCUCUCUUCUUCAGGCACUGUUUCUUUGCAAUAUUCUACACUUCAAUUCAAAACUUUCUCUUCUGUAGCUCUCAUCGUCAUGCUGUUUCUUGGACUGAGUGGUUAAUGUUUGGUUUCUAGCGUUGAUUACGGUUAGUUCUUGCUUCGUUUCUUGGUAGAUUCUCACAGGUAACUGAAAUGGAGUUCGAUCUGCUACUUGGUUUUGGAUAACUACGAUUCCUCUCACUUGGUUUAUCAUGCAAUUUAAUUUAUCACGGCAAGCUGCAGUAGUGAUAAAUAUAUACCCACUUCUGAAGCUGUGCAAUUAGAAAAAUUGUGGAGGACGAGAAUUAGCUUAGGGACAAAUAAAGAUGCUGUUGUACAUGGUUGUAGGGGGAAGUCUCCUAGGUUCAGUGAUGAAUUAUUGAUCAAUACUUUAUUUUGAAAAUUGAUCUUUACAUUAUCUAAAAAUAAUCUUAUUAGAAUUUGCUACAUUCUAGAUUUGAAAUUAUAGACUGAGAUAUUUGACUUUUAGCUUUUAGUAUUAGCAUGUCUUAGGUGUAGCUGAAGGUAUUGCUCAAUUGUAGUCUUUGUUGGGUAUUACAUUACCCAUGAAGUUGGUGUUCAUAUGCCAAAAAAAAUCCCAUUUAAAUUCAGCUCCAUAUAUUUGAUUGAUUCAUUAUUUCUAUCCUUGGUCCUCCAGGUGCUGCCACUAAAUUAGCUUUGUGUGUCUCCUAGGUUCAGCUAUAAGUUUCAGUUUUAGUUCGAAGUGUUAAAUACUUGAAAUUAACUAGAAGGGUUCAGGUUCAGUUUGAAUUUAAGUUUCUCUUUCCUUAUUUGAGUUUUAGGAUUAAGUUUCAGUUUCGUUUUAAUUUUUUCUAAGAAGGGUUGUACACUGUUGGAUGCUCAGUUUGUUUAUACAAGAGAAAGUGAUAUCAAUAGUACAGGGCUGAUGCUUGUGAUUUCUUGUGUUAGCUUCGUUUUCAGCUCAAUAGCUCAGGGAGUGUCUGGUUAUCAACAAAACAAAAAACUGACUGAGACCCAAAAAAUAUUUCAG
rnacentral:lncRNA from 1 species